rnacentral:tRNA from 1 species
UCCAGGGUAGCCUAGUGGACAUGGCAUCUGCCCGGUAAGCGGAACAUUGUGGGUUCGAUUCCCAUCCCCCUGGAC